GCAAACUUGGUCAUUUAGAGGAAGUAAAAGUCGUAACAAGGUCUCCGUUGGUGAACCAGCGGAGGGAUCAUUACUGAGUCCCUGACCGGCUCAAAACCCUCUGUGAACCUAUUCUCGAAGUUGCUUCGGCAGGCGACCCAGGGGGGUCAUGGCCUGUGGCCUGGCCGCGCCAGCGGCCUACAGGUCCCGGUGCGCCUCGCGCCCGGCUGCCGGAGGGCGCCCUCUAUAUACGCUGUAUCUGUGUAGCUCUGGGUCUGAUAUAACUAUCAAAACUUUCAACAACGGAUCUCUUGGUUCUGGCAUCGAUGAAGAACGCAGC
rnacentral:misc_RNA from 1 species